rnacentral:rRNA from 1 species
AUUGAACGCUGGCGGCAGGCCUAACACAUGCAAGUCGAACGAGUGGCGGACGGGUGAGUAAUGUCUGGGAAACUGCCCGAUGGAGGGGGAUAACUACUGGAAACGGUAGCUAAUACCGCAUACCAUCGGAUGUGCCCAGAUGGGAUUAGCUAGUAGGUGGGGUAAUGGCUCACCUAGGCGACGAUCCCUAGCUGGUCUGAGAGGAUGACGAGCCACACGGGAACGGAGACACGGUCCAGACUCCUACGGGAGGCAGAAGUGGGGAAUAUUGCACAAGGGGCGAAAGCCUGAUGAAGACAGGCCGCGUGUAGGAAGAAGGCCUUCGGGUUGUAAAGUACUUUCAGAGAGGAGGCGUUACUCGCAGAAGAAGCACCGGCUAACUCCGUGCCAGCAGCCGCGGUAAUUC